GACGAACGCUGGCGGCGUGCCUAAUACAUGCAAGUAGGACGCAGUUGCGAACGGGUGAGUAACGCUUAGGUACCUGCCUAUUAGAGGGGGAUAACUAUUGGCAACGAUAGCUAAUACCGCCUACUAGUAGAUUGACCUGCGUUGUAUUAGCUAGUAGGUAGGGUAAUGGCCUACCUAGGCGACGAUACAUAGCCGACAGGAGAGGGGGAUCGGCCACACUGGGACUGAGACACGGCGCAGACUCCUACGGGAGGCAGCAGUAGGGAAUCUUCGGCAAUGGGGGGGACCCUGACCGAGCAACGCCGCGUGAGUGAAGAAGGUGUUCGGAUCGUAAAACUCUGUUGUGAGAGAAGCGGUAUCUAACCAGAAAGCCACGGCUAACUACGUGCCAGCAGCCGCGGUAAUAC
rnacentral:rRNA from 1 species